rnacentral:rRNA from 1 species
GAUGAACGCUGGCGGCGUGCCUAAUACAUGCAAGUCGAGCGAACAGAUGAGGAGCUUGCUCCUAUGAGGUUAGCGGCGGACGGGAGAGUAACACGUGGAUAACCUAACUAUAAGACAGGGAUAACAAUGGGAAACCGGAGCUAAUAGCGGAUAAUAUAUUGAACCGAAUGGUGCAAUAGUGAAAGACGGUUUUGCUGUCACUUAUAGAUGGACCCGCGCCGCAUUAGCUAGUUGGUACGGUGAAGGCUUACCAAGGCAACGAUGCGUAGCCGACCUGAGAGGGACGUCCCCCACCCUGGCUCUGAGCCACGGCCCACACUCCUGCGGGAGGCCGCGGUAGGGACUCUUCCGCAAUGCACCAGAGCCUAACGGAGCGCCACCGCGGGAAUGAUGACGGUCUUCGGACCCUAGAACUCUGUUAUUCUGGAAGUACAAAUGUGUAAUCAACUGUGCACGUCUUGACGGUACCUAAUCAGAAAGCCCCGGCUAACUACGUG